AUUGAACGCUGGCGGCAGGCCUAACACAUGCAAGUCGGGCGAGUGGCGGACGGGUGAGUAAUGUCUGGGGAACUGCCUGAUGGAGGGGGCUAACUACUGGAAACGGUAGCUAAUACCGCAUCCCAUCAGAUGUACCCAUAUGGGAUUAGCUCGUAGGUGGGGUAAUGGCUCACCUAGGCGACGAUCCCUAGCUGGUCUGAGAGGAUGACCAGCCAGACUGGAACUGAGACACGGCCCAGACUCCUACGGGAGGCAGCAGUGGGGAAUAUUGCACAAUGGGCGCAAGCCUGAUGCAGCCAUGCCGCGUGUAUGAAGAAGGCCUUCGGGUUGUAAAGUACUUUCAGUCGGGAGGCGUUACCGGCAGAAGAAGCACCGGCUAACUCCGUGCCAGCAGCCGCGGUAAUAC
rnacentral:rRNA from 1 species